rnacentral:misc_RNA from 1 species
GCAUCUGCAGCUAGUGUCAUGGACAUGGCAGCUGCUUUCAGCCUUUUGCCUGGUUCCCCAUCAUCGGUCUCUGCCAUGUCCCCUACCCCUUUUAACCCACCAAUGUCUCCUGCAGCAAGUACUAUUCCUCACUCAUCUGUUGCGUGGCCACAGCCAAAUGUACCAACACUACAUCUCCCAUUAAGCAACCUUCAAUCAAGUCGCUUGAGAUCAUCCCU